rnacentral:rRNA from 1 species
UACGGAGGGUGCGAGCGUUGUCCGGAAUCACUGGGCGUAAAGGGCGCGUAGGCGGCCUGGUAAGUAGGGGGUGAAAUCCUGCGGCUUAACCGCAGGGCUGCCUUCUAAACUGUCAGGCUCGAGCACGGUAGAGGCAGAUGGAAUUCCCGGUGUAGCGGUGGAAUGCGUAGAUAUCGGGAAGAACACCCGUGGCGAAGGCGGCUCUCUGGGACGGUACUGACGCUGAGACGCGAAAGCGUGGGGAGCGAACAGG